GUAGUACUCCCUCCGUCUGAAAAUACUUGUCGGAGAAAUGGAUGUAUCUAGAUGUAUUUUAGUUCUAGAUACAUCCAUUUUUAUUCAUUUCUUCGACGAGUAUUUCGGGAUGGAGGGAGUACAAC
rnacentral:pre_miRNA from 1 species